GCUUCGUUGGCUAAGUGGUACAGCGUCCCACUCGUAUUGUGCAUCAUGGGAAGAUCGACGGUUCAAUUCCGUCACGAAGCA